CCCUGUGGAUAGCUCAGUCGGUAGAGCAUGAGACUCUUGAUCCCAGGGACAUGGGUUUGAGCAAUAGUUUCCCUACAUUUCAGGGG